ensembl:lncRNA
UAUAAAUCUUAUCCAUUGCAUCUGAGACAACAGUACUUCAUAUCGUAAUUGAAAUCACUGCAUUUCCACAGAUACUGAGUUGAAUUAUGGGCUGCAACUGAAAACUGCUAAAAAGGUUCCUUUGCAUUCACAAGAGCAAUAAUGCUUAAUCCAUUUAUAUCCUACUGCAUGUUCACUGGACAUUUUCCUCCUCUGAGUGUCUUUCACUAAGGUUCCAGCCAGCACAGUCCCAAGUGAGGUCUUGGCAAGAAGAUGAGAAGGCAGGACAAGCUGUCUCAGAUUUGGGCACUAAUAUCUCUUGGACACUGCAACAUGCUCAUACAGAUGCACUCACAACAAUAGAGGCCUUCUCACUCACUCUGUGCUUAGAUGUUGUCCAGGCCUCCUGCACCAGGGGCACAGCUGACUUUUGCAGAAGGAAUGCCAUGGUGGGUGAGACCAAAGGUCCCCUGCAGUUGGCAUCUCAAUGGAUGCUUCGGAAAGGACUAUCAGCAGCAGGAUGGACACGUGAAGACUCUUUCCAGUCACAGAAGCAAUAUUGCAUGUCUCAUGAAUAUAAUGUUCCCUCAAAAAACAAAACAACAACAAAAAUAAAGGCUACUUUUAGACAGCAUAUAAUAUGUACGCAGGCAAAAUAAAAUUUGCACUAAUAAGAGCAAAAAAGACAGACAGGAAUUAUUCUUUGGUCUUAUAUUUUUGAAGUUGUAAUUUCAUUUCCCAUUCCUGACCUAGGCUUUUCCUUUUGAUUAAAAUUACCUCUGGUAAAAACAUCAGUACAACAGGCCAAGCAGCCACUGUCAGCUGCUCUGAUUCCUGUAGUUGGAAGCAGAGUUGCUCUUAUUAGUGCAAUUAACUUCUGUAGCUUAAAAGAAAAUGCACCCUUGCGGACCUACACUAUGCAGCUGGCGAUUAAAUUCCAGAAAAUUCAUUUCACUAAGACAUUUUGUUCUUUUCCAGUUCUCCUGGGAUGAUGACGUGGUUAUCCAAAAAUUGUUGAUAUGCACUAUUUUGUCAUUAAAA